AGUCGAGCGGUAGCACAAGGAGCUUGCUCCUGGGUGACGAGCGGCGGACGGGUGAGUAAUGUCUGGGAAACUGCCCGAUGGAGGGGGAUAACUACUGGAAACGGUAGCUAAUACCGCAUAACGUCUUCGGACCAAAGUGGGGGACCUUCGGGCCUCACACCAUCGGAUGUGCCCAGAUGGGAUUAGCUAGUAGGUGAGGUAAUGGCUCACCUAGGCGACGAUCCCUAGCUGGUCUGAGAGGAUGACCAGCCACACUGGAACUGAGACACGGUCCAGACUCCUACGGGAGGCAGCAGUGGGGAAUAUUGCACAAUGGGCGCAAGCCUGAUGCAGCCAUGCCGCGUGUGUGAAGAAGGCCUUCGGGUUGUAAAGCACUUUCAGCGAGGAGGAAGGGUUCGGUGUUAAUAGCACUGUUCAUUGACGUUACUCGCAGAAGAAGCACCGGCUAACUCCGUGCCAGCAGCCGCGGUAAUACGGAGGGUGCAAGCGUUAAUCGGAAUUACUGGGCGUAAAGCGCACGCAGGCGGUUUGUUAAGUCAGAUGUGAAAUCCCCGAGCUUAACUUGGGAACUGCAUUUGAAACUGGCAAGCUAGAUCUUGUAGAGGGGGGUAGAAUUCCAGGUGUAGCGGUGAAAUGCGUAGAGAUCUGGAGGAAUCCGGUGGCGAAGGCGGCCCCUGGACAAGACUGACGCUCAGUGCGAAAGCGUGGGGAGCAACAGGAUAGAUACCUGGUAGUCCACGCUGUAACGAUGUCACUUGGAGGUGUGCCUUGAGGCGUGGCUUCGGAGCUACGCGUUAGUCGACGCCUGGGAGUACGGCGCAAGUUAAACUCAAUGAAUGACGGGGCCGCACAACCGUGGAGCAUGUGGUUAUUCAUGCACGCGAGAACUUACUACUCUUGACAUCACAGAACUUCCAGAUGAUUGUGCCUCGGG
rnacentral:rRNA from 1 species